rnacentral:rRNA from 1 species
CUCCGGUUGAUCCCGCCGGACCCGACUGCUAUCAGAGUGGGACUAAGCCAUGCGAGUCGACGUAGCAAUGCGUGGCGAACGGCUCAGUAACACGUAGUCAACAUGCCCAGGGGACGUGGAUAACCUCGGGAAACUGAGAAUAAACCACGAUAGGUCACGAUUUCUGGAAUGGAUCAUGGCCUAAAUCUACAUGGCCCCUGGAUUGGACUGCGGCCGAUCAGGCUGUUGGUGAGGUAAUGGCCCACCAAACCUAUAACCGGUACGGGCUCUGAGAGGAGAAGCCCGGAGAUGGGCACUGAGACAAGGGCCCAGGCCCUAUGGGGCGCAGCAGGCGCGAAACCUCUGCAAUAGGCGAAAGCCUGACAGGGUUACUCUGAGUGAUUUCCGCUAAGGGGAUCUUUUGGCACCUCUAAAAAUGGUGCAGAAUAAGGGGUGGGCAAGUCUGGUGUCAGCCGCCGCGGUAAUACCAGCACCCCGAGUGGUCGGGACGAUUAUUGGGCCUAAAGCAUCCGUAGCCGGUUCUGCAAGUCUUCCGUUAAAUCCAGCCGCUCAACGGAUGGGCCGCGGAGGAUACUACAGGACUAGGAGGCGGGAGAGGCAAGCGGUACUCAGUGGGUAGGGGUAAAAUCCUUUGAUCCAUUGAAGACCACCAGUGGCGAAGGCGGCUUGCCAGAACGCGCUCGACGGUGAGGGAUGAAAGCUGGGGGAGCAAACCGGAUUAGAUACCCGGGUAGUCCCAGCUGUAAACGAUGCAAACUCGGUGAUGCAUUGGCUUAUGGCCAAUGCAGUGCCGCAGGGAAGCCGUUAAGUCUGCCGCCUGGGGAGUACGGUCGCAAGACUGAAACUUAAAGGAAUUUGGCGGGGAGCA